UACGUAGGGCGCAAGCGUUGUCCGGAAUUAUUGGGCGUAAAGAGCUCGUAGGCGGUUUGUCGCGUCUGCUGUGAAAAACCUAAGGCUCAACCUUGGGCUUGCAGUGGGUACGGGCAGACUAGAGUGCGGUAGGGGUGACUGGAAUUCCUGGUGUAGCGGUGGAAUGCGCAGAUAUCAGGAGGAACACCGAUGGCGAAGGCAGGUCACUGGGCCGCAAACUGACGCUG
rnacentral:rRNA from 1 species